GUGAAACCCCAAACACGACCCGCGUCGAGACGGAACCGCGGAGCCGGAGUCAGGGCAGCAGGGAGGGCGAGAUGUGCGCCGCAGGGAGACAGGGACCGAGCAGAGUAUUGACUUAAAUCAGCAUGGAAAAGUUCCGAGUUGGAGAAGGUCACCUGGAGGAUGUCACCUCCCGUUCUGCACGCUGUGUACACGCUGCGCAGAUGUCCAUGCACCCACCUGUUUCUCUGGGAUUCUUUCUCUCAUUCUGCCGCGUCUCCACCUCUCUUCCUGCUCCCUGCGUGAGACGCUCUUCAGGUUCGAGUUGACGCUAGCAAAAAGACAUUAAAAAUCAAUCAUCUCUUUCUGCUAGCUAGUUGGAUGUGGGAGUUCUGGAUAUUCACAGAGCGAGAAGCCAAAAAUUGAUAUGUGUGUCAUAAGGUUUCAUAUGUUAUAUUCCUAUUGUUCAAGUACAUCAUUGACACCAUAAAGCAAACAUCGUGAAUUCAUGGUCAUAUUAAAUUACGAAGGACAUAAAUCAGUGGUGCCAGCAUGUGGAAACUGAGACCCCACUGCCUUUACGACUGCACUGAGAAACUGAUUUUCAUUAAUAUUUCAUGAAUAUUAACAUAACCUCCCUUGGAAAUGAUCGAAAUAACAAAAAUCGAUGUCUCAAAUUUGUGCUAUAUCAUCAGUUCACAAAAUCGACCUGGCAUGUUUGAUAUUAGUUUUGACAUAUCAUUUUCUUGUAUGGCAACAGCUAACAAUAAAUUAACACAAGCAAUUACUGGUUAUUAACAAGAAACUUCUUACAUAAAGUAAACAUUUCUUUGUAUUCAGACUUUA